AUCGGUAUCACCAUGAUCGCACCUUGUCAGUUUCGACCUUGAAUUAUUUACAUGUAUAAGCACACAUGUCCUUCUAGGUGUGUGAGGAAUCUUAGGCUGGCAAGGAAGUGGUGGUUGACGUGUUCCAGCUGUCCAAUUGCCUUCUCGGUCAGCUUUGCCGGAGACUUAUCUUGAAGGGUGCUUGCCAGCUUCCAAUGAAGGGUCCCUGGUGUGGCCUUUGAUUUUCAGUUUUGGUGGCUGCCAUACCUUAAAGUAGCAGAGAUUCUCGAAUCCAGUGGAAAUUGUUCUUAUGGUUACGGCUGGUGCCACUUACUGGAAGUAGACAGUGCUACCAAUGCGUCAAGGAAAGAAAAAAAUCAUAAUAAAGAUGAAGCCAGGUGGCAUAGCACAUUUGGUGGGACAUAACCACUAGCUUCAACCUCACUGAGGGAGAAUGAAUGAGUUAAAGAAGGAGGACAUAAAUAUUGCCCUUUCCUUUCUGUUCAUAUUAGGUCCUUUAAACAUUUUUUAAGAAAUAUAUUCCAUGGAAGGCUUCACCAUUCCAGUGUGUUCCCCAAUUCCAAGGUCUUUUUGGUACUGCCAAAUAGCAGCACACAGUCCAACCUUCACUGUUUAGGCAACUUGUACUUGAAAACUAAUGCAUCUUAACUCAUGUUUUACCACUGAAAAAACAUUUGACUCCUACUUUGCAUUUGUGAGGCGACCUCAAACUUGUCAUGUUGGCAAUGAAUUGUGACCAAAAAGAAGUAUAUCAAUUCUUGAAGGAAAUUGGCCAUUUUUCAAUAAUUCUAUAUGCAAAACAUUUAUGUGCAGCUAUGCCAGUAAGCAUACAUUUUUAACCAGGGCUGAUAACUUCAGUAUAAAGAAUGCAGCAGCGGAGAAACCGAGAAGCCAGUUAACAUGUUAAGUAAAUCACCAUUAGCAGAGAGAGAAAAAAAAAAAGUUUUGCAUGUGGAUGUGAAUAGUUGCAACACUGCAUCAUGAAUUUUUCCAUUUUAGUGGCAGGAAGUGUGUAAAUCUGAAGCAAAUUAAGCUCUUGAAUAUCUAUAAUACUAAUGGAUGAAACCCUUUAGAAUGAUAGCAAAAGAGAAAUCAUAGACCUCAAAUAAAUGUUACAUGUUGCAUUUGUCAAUUUGCUGUCCUUCAAACGAUGACCUUACAAUAAAGCAACUGUCAAAGCAGUAGU
rnacentral:lncRNA from 1 species